rnacentral:rRNA from 1 species
GAUGAACGCUGGCGGCGUGCUUAACACAUGCAAGUCGAACGGGAAACCUUUUAUUGAAGCUUCGGCAGAUUUAGCUGGUUUCUAGUGGCGGACGGGUGAGUAACGCGUGGGUAACCUGCCUUAUACAGGGGGAUAACAACCAGAAAUGGUUGCUAAUACCGCAUAAGUGCACAGGACCGCAUGGUCCGGUGUGAAAAACUCCGGUGGUAUAAGAUGGACCCGCGUUGGAUUAGCUAGUUGGCAGGGUAACGGCCUACCAAGGCGACGAUCCAUAGCCGGCCUGAGAGGGUGAACGGCCACAUUGGGACUGAGACACGGCCCAGACUCCUACGGGAGGCAGCAGUGGGGAAUAUUGCACAAUGGGGGAAACCCUGAUGCAGCGACGCCGCGUGAAGGAAGAAGUAUCUCGGUAUGUAAACUUCUAUCAGCAGGGAAGAUAGUGACGGUACCUGACUAAGAAGCCCCGGCUAACUACGUG